AUACGGAGGGUGCGAGCGUUGUUCGGAAUUAUUGGGCGUAAAGAGCAUGUAGGCGGUCUGUUAAGUCUGGUGUGAAAGCCCGGGGCUCAACCCCGGAAGUGCAUUGGAUACUGGCAGACUUGAGUAUGGGAGAGGAAAGCGGAAUUCCGAGUGUAGGAGUGAAAUCCGUAGAUAUUCGGAGGAACACCAGUGGCGAAGGCGGCUUUCUGGACCAAUGCUGACGCUGAGAUGCGAAAGCGUGGGGAGCAAACAGGAUUAGAAACCCCAGUAGUCC
rnacentral:rRNA from 1 species